rnacentral:rRNA from 1 species
GACGAACGCUGGCGGCGUGCUUAACACAUGCAAGUCGAACGGAAAGGCCCUGCUUUUGUGGGGUGCUCGAGUGGCGAACGGGUGAGUAACACGUGAGUAACCUGCCCUUGACUUUGGGAUAACUUCAGGAAACUGGGGCUAAUACCGGAUAGGAGCUCCUGCUGCAUGGUGGGGGUUGGAAAGUUUCGGCGGUUGGGGAUGGACUCGCGGCUUAUCAGCUUGUUGGUGGGGUAGUGGCUUACCAAGGCUUUGACGGGUAGCCGGCCUGAGAGGGUGACCGGCCACAUUGGGACUGAGAUACGGCCCAGACUCCUACGGGAGGCAGCAGUGGGGAAUAUUGCACAAUGGGCGGAAGCCUGAUGCAGCAACGCCGCGUGCGGGAUGACGGCCUUCGGGUUGUAAACCGCUUUCGCCUGUGACGAAGCGUGAGUGACGGUAAUGGGUAAAGAAGCACCGGCUAACUACGUGCCAGCAGCCGCGGUGAUACGUAGGGUGCGAGCGUUGUCCGGAUUUAUUGGGCGUAAAGGGCUCGUAGGUGGUUGAUCGCGUCGGAAGUGUAAUCUUGGGGCUUAACCCUGAGCGUGCUUUCGAUACGGGUUGACUUGAGGAAGGUAGGGGAGAAUGGAAUUCCUGGUGGAGCGGUGGAAUGCGCAGAUAUCAGGAGGAACACCAGUGGCGAAGGCGGUUCUCUGGGCCUUUCCUGACGCUGAGGAGCGAAAGCGUGGGGAGCGAACAGGCUUAGAUACCCUGGUAGUCCACGCUGUAAACGGUGGGUACUAGGUGUGGGGUCCAUUCCACGGGUUCCGUGCCGUAGCUAACGCUUUAAGUACCCCGCCUGGGGAGUACGGCCGCAAGGCUAAAACUCAAAGGAAUUGACGGGGCCCCGCACAAGCGGCGGAGCAUGCGGAUUAAUUCGAUGCAACGCGUAGAACCUUACCUGGGUUUGACAUGGAUCGGGAGUGCUCAGAGAUGGGUGUGCCUCUUUUGGGGUCGGUUCACAGGUGGUGCAUGGCUGUCGUCAGCUCGUGUCGUGAGAUGUUGGGUUAAGUCCCGCAACGAGCGCAACCCUUGUUCACUGUUGCCAGCACGUUAUGGUGGGGACUCAGUGGAGACCGCCGGGGUCAACUCGGAGGAAGGUGGGGAUGACGUCAAGUCAUCAUGCCCCUUAUGUCCAGGGCUUCACGCAUGCUACAAUGGCUGGUACAGAGAGUGGCGAGCCUGUGAGGGUGAGCGAAUCUCGGAAAGCCGGUCUCAGUUCGGAUUGGGGUCUGCAACUCGACCUCAUGAAGUCGGAGUCGCCGGUAAUCGCAGAUCAGCAACGCUGCGGUGAAUACGUUCCCGGG